UGCAACUCAGCUUUGUGGAAGUGCUUCUCUAAAGAACUUCCCCCAAUUUAAGAUGAUCUUAAUUUGCUUACUUGUUUACUGUCCAUUCAGCUGCUCUAAAAUGUGAGCUCCAAAUCAGGGACCAUGUCUGGUUGGUUACCCAUUUCCUGGGACCUAGAACGGGCCUAGCUCAGAGCAGGUGCUCACUAUUGAUGGAAUGCAUGUUGAAAGAAUGCAUGAAUCUCAUCUCCUUUUGUGGGUGAAAAUCUCAUCCUAUUCUCACUCCUGAUUAACUUUCUUUCUUUUUUUUUUUUCAAAACGGAGCCCUGAUCUGUCACCCAGGCUGGAGUGCAAUGGUGCCAUCUCAGCUCGCUGCAACCUCUGCCUUCUGGAUUAAAGCAAUUCUCCUGCCUCAGCCUCCCGGGUAGCUGGGAUUACAGAGUCUUCUCUGUAACCUCUGCAGGAAUUUGGGGAGCUAUGCGGGAUCUCCAUAAAAUGAGCUCCAGAAAGACACAUGUGUGCGCGCACACACACACACACACACACACACACUCACACAUGUACCGCACCACAAUUGAAUCUGUUUAUUUGGGACCCAUGAUUAUUUUCAACAAACACUUCUGAGAAAUAAUCUGAACACUUAAUUGGAUGCAAAAGAGGGAGUCCUUGAGCAGAAGGAAGCAAGUUGCCUGAGAUUCUUCAAAGCCCGCAGCCCUUUUGGAGGUAGAAGUUGCUGGUCCCAUCUUGCUCACAAUCCUCCAAAGUUUGAAAGUUAUUUUCCAGGAGACUUGGCUUGCACUGAGAGCUGCCCUCCCACCCUCUCUCCAAAUUUCCUCUUGGGGGUAGCCUAACAAGGUGCUGUCACAGACCCUUGUCGGCCACGAUGACCCCACCCAGACCAUCCCUCUGCUGUUUCACUCUUUG
ensembl:lncRNA LINC02614 long intergenic non-protein coding RNA 2614